UGGGACUUUGUAGGAUGAACGUUGAGAUUUAUAAGGAGCACGGGGUGACCAACAAAGGUCUGAGUUGGUCUGUAAUAAGGUAGGGGGCACUGAUAAUGGGUUGAGAGGUAUGCAAAGCCAUCUAUCACCAUCCUACGAUGUAACUUUAGAUCCUGCACACGAGCUCGUGGCAUCGCUCCGUCUCCCCGCGGAUGAGCCGUAAACAUCUCGGGACGCGUUCUAUUAUCUUGGCCUGUCACGUCGUUCGUGGUCGAGGAUGACGACUCUUACCCCGUCGUUCAUCGUGGCUUGUAGCGACUUGUCCUGCCCAAGCCCACUUUAAUAGCGAAUUGAAGCCCUCACGGCGCCACCGCUGACCCCGGGUGUAAACGGGUGGAGAUGCCGGUUCCCCCCGAGCAGCUUCUCACGCCGGCGAUGCUGGGCGGUGAACCCGAACCGGUGCCGGUGGCCCCCCUAGUGGCCCUAUCGUGCACCUUGCCAGACGCCGAAGUGGACGAGGAGAGCAUCCGCCUGGAGCGGCUCCUCGGGGACAAGGAGCGGGAGUGGCACGAGCUGCAGAAGCUGCGAGCGCGUGCGCUGGCGGAGUCGGUGCGGCGGGCGGAGAGGGCGACUGCUGAGGAGAGGGAGCGCUUCCUGCAGCUCAAGGAUGACUUCAAGUUCAACCUCAGGCUGCUGGAGGAGCGCGAUGGCGAGCUGGAGCACUGUGAGGCAGAUUUGGCGAGCGCGCGCUCCGACAAUGCGGAGUUACGUGCCCACGUCAGCGAGCUGAGCGUGCAGGCCGACCGCCUGCGCUCCGCCCUGGCCGCUGCGAGGCGCGACGGCGAGGAGGAGAUGGCGCAGCACCGUGAAAGGCUGCGGGAACUCCGCCUGGACACAGAGAGGGCACGUGGGGGGGUGGAGGCUCAGCUGAGCCAGCGUAGCGAGGAACUGGAGCGGCUGAGGAGGGAGCUCGAGAGAAAGGUGGAGGAGACCCGUGGGGAGCUCGGCCUGCAGAAACAGGAGCUGCUCGCCGAGUUUGAUGUGCACUUGCAAAAGCGCGAGCACGAAUUCCGUCUCCAUGCCGACCAGAUGAGCAACACGGUGCUGGCACACGAGCUCAAGGUUCGGCUGCUGGGCAAGGAGCUGGAGGCAGCUCAGGCGGCGAACGAGCGCUAUGGGGCCGCGCUGGCGGCCGCCGAGACAGCGCAGGUGGAGCUGGAGAAGCGUCUGCGCGAGGCCGAGUGGGCCCUACGGGACGAGGUGGCCGUGCGUGACGCCAGGAUCAAGGAGCUGGAGGAACGGGCGGAGGAUGCACGGUUGGCACACGCCAAGGGGCUGGAGCUGCUGAACCGCAAGUGCACCGAGCUGGACCGUCAGACGCGGGAGAGCGCCGCCGCACUGGAGCGAGUGAGGGCGGCCGGCGCGGAGCGCGAGCGAGCGCUGGAGGCACAGCUGCGGGAGCUGCGCGGGGAGCUCCAGGAUGGGGAGGUGGAGCGCAAGCGGCUGGAGUGGAGCCAUGCUGAUGCCCUACACCUCAAGGACCAUGACAUGGAGAAGCUGCGGGAGGAGCUGCAGCUGGCGCGGACUGCCUGGGACACGCACGUGACGCAGCAGGCGCGACAGACAGUGCGCAGGGACGUGGAGACGGAGGCCGACCGGCAGGCGCUUGCCAAGAUGCGCGCUGAGCUCGCCGCAUGUCAGGACGCCUCCGCCAGGUACAAGCAAGAGCUGGCGUUGGCCGUGCAGCGGCAGGAAGAGCUGGAGAGGGAGCGCGAGCAGCUUGCGCUCGACUCGCAGCGCAGGGCGGAGGAGCGGGAGAGCGCCCUCCACCGGCAGGGAGACAAAGUGCUGCAACCCAUCAUGCAGGCGCGAGACCAGGCCGUGCUGCGGCUGAAGGAGCGCGAGCGCGAGCUGAGCGAGGCGGUGUCUGCCGGGGCACGGCUGAGACGCGAACGCGACAGGGCCAUGGCGACUCUUCUCAAGCACGGCAUCGCUUUGCAGGAUAACGAACCGCAGGAUGAGGAGUCCGAUCUGGUGGGCACGGAUGACUCAUCGCUGCGUGCCCAGAACGCUGCCCUGCGCGCCGUAAUCGGGGAGAUGCGGCGGGAGAUGGAGGCGCUCACGGGCGCUGGCGGGAAGCCCACCAGGGAGGCCGGUGUGUCGCCAGCGAUAAAGGGAGCUGAGCUGCAGCUGGAGGCCACCGUGAGGAGGCAGGCGGGGCAGGUAGCACGGCUAGCCGCUACCGUGGCCCAGCUGACGCGGCAGGAGGAUCUGCGCAGGCUGCGUCUCAUCGCUGAUCCCGGUGGCGCCGCUGUUGCCGAAACCUCCCAUCCUCGUGUCGCCGAGCUGCAGGUCAGGUUGAGGCAAGCGGCGCGGCACGUGGCACGACUCUCCCGUGAGCGCCAGCAGCUGCUUGAGCUGGGGAACCGGCUGAGGGCUCAGCUGGCCAGCGCCGGCCUGCACGAGUCCGAGGAUGAACCUCGGUCGGAGGGUGAGGAUACAGAUCCCGGACAGCGCCGUUUGUCUGCACGGGGACACGGGGCCAAGACGCGGCUGUCCCAGCUGGAGGCGCUACAGUACCAGCUGACGUCACAGGAGCUGCAGUUUGCCCAGCAUUCCCGCCGCGUGCCUCCGCUCCCGGCGCCGGCCGACUCCGGCGAGACCGACAAGAGCAGCCUGACGGCGCCAACGCCGGCCCAGCGUGAGGCACUGCUCUCGUCGGAUGGAGGGGGCAGCUCGCUCCACGAGCUCUGGAAAAUGCUGGAACAAGACGACCCUGGCAGCUCUCCCAGCUACGACAAGGGUGGAGCCCGUCCCUCGACCUCCCGCUCACCCAGAUGCCCAACAGCCACCGCCGUCACCGGGGAGCUCCACACCCCGGAGAAGCCCAGUCGCGACGCGGGGCCCGAGGAGAUUGUAGUGCGGGCGCGGGGGCUGACCCCGCACGCCCGACCCCGAAAGGUGGCCGGCCGUAACCCUUGGGGUGACUCGACAAAUUCAUCGGGCAAGCCGCGCACACCGGGACGGGGACGGGUGCGUAACUACAACAUGCGGGAUUGACACGCCCAAGAGGUGGUUUAACCGACCCGCCAGGUGGGGGUGAUGAUCGGCUGAGCGGACAUGUCUAACUGAUGAAUCUGUGUGUCAUCAUCGUUACAUCCCUCGCACCAACAAUAAUAAGAGAGUACAACACUGAAUUACGCUCACGGGCAAUUGAAAUGGCUUUUGCGUGCUGCUUUUAAAUUUAAAAAAACACCAUAACGGUUGUAAUACUGUGGAUCUGUCUCUGAAAAUAGAUUUUAAAAGUGCUAUUUCUCAGAAUGGUAGAGUUGAGAUUAAAAAAAAAUUGUGUAUUCUUUUGAAAGAUUGGUAAUGUUGAAUUUGCCUUAAGGGUUUGCUGUGUUUGUAGAUGUCGCAGUACAGUUAACUCUUGAUUUAUCCGUGAGUGGAUUUACCGGGUUGUGGAUUAAUGAUGCUUGUGAACAAAAUAAAUAUUUGUGGGCGUGCUGGUUUUAUCGGUUGUACUACUGGCUGCUCCUCACUUGUCGACGGUCAGCGACUCGGUGCCCACAUGACUGCAAACACGUCGGCAAGAAAAUCGAUUACUUUAAGAAGGAAUAAAAACAGAUGAUGCAUUC